GAUUGCUAUACAACACUUAGAAUUACUAUAGUUGAUGUCUACAAUCCAUCCCAACCUUGGAAAUCCAUUCUUUCUGCAUGGAGAAUUAAAGAAUCAUUUUGGCCAAGUGGGAGAGAAGGAAGAAGAAAUAAUGUGAUUUGCUAUGGUUUGCAGCCCUUCAACGAUUCAAUUUUAAGAUUGUUGUUUCUGCAAGCAGCUGUCCUGUCCCAGAAAUUAGAUAGGCUACUUAAAUAAUUUGAACUUCAACUUCUUCAAAAUUAAAAUGGAUAAAACUUAUUUUCCUACAUCUUACCUGAAAUUGUAUGGAAAAUAAUUUACAAAGUUGUAUGUUUGUUUCUUAGAACAUGUUGUAUCUCUCUGAAUAUCUUUUUAAAUCAUAUUUAAGUUUAUAAAAUUAGCAUAUUUUUAUUACAUAUGAAAUAAUAUAGUGCCAAAGUGUCAUAUAAUUUCAUCUAGCUCUCUUGUAUCCAAAUAAACAGAUGUUAUAAGUAUGAUGGUUGACUAUC
rnacentral:lncRNA from 12 species